rnacentral:rRNA from 1 species
CACGGCGGAUCGCCUUGAGUUGAUCAUGGCUCAGAAUCAACGCUGGCGGCGUGCCUAACACAUGCAAGUCGAACGCGAAAGUCCCGCAAGGGAUUAGUAGAGUGGCAAACGGGUGAGUAACACGUGGGUGACCUGCCUUCGAGCGGGGGAUAACGUCCCGAAAGGGACGCUAAUACCGCAUGACAUCCUGCCUUUGAAGAGGUGGAGAUCAAAGCUGGGGAUCGCAAGACCUAGCACUCGAAGAGGGGCCCGCGCCUGAUUAGCUAGUUGGUGGGGUAACGGCUCACCAAGGCGACGAUCAGUAGCCGGCCUGAGAGGGCGGACGGCCACACUGGGACUGAGACACGGCCCAGACUCCUACGGGAGGCAGCAGUGGGGAAUUGUUCGCAAUGGGCGCAAGCCUGACGACGCAACGCCGCGUGGAGGACGAAGACCUUCGGGUCGUAAACUCCUUUCGAUCGAGACGAACGGCUUCCGGGUGAACAAUCCGGAAGAGUGACGGUACUGAGAGAAGAAGCCCCGGCUAACUCCGUGCCAGCAGCCGCGGUAAUACGGGGGGGGCAAGCGUUGUUCGGAAUUACUGGGCGUAAAGGGCUCGUAGGUGGCCAACUAAGUCAGACGUGAAAUCCCUCGGCUUAACCGGGGAACUGCGUCUGAUACUGGAUGGCUUGAGAUUGGGAGAGGGAUGCGGAAUUCCAGGUGUAGCGGUGAAAUGCGUAGAUAUCUGGAGGAACACCGGUGGCGAAGGCGGCAUCCUGGAC